GACGUAGGGUGCAAGCGUUGUCCGGAUUUACUGGGCGUAAAGCGUGCGUAGGCAGUCUUGUAAGUCAGAAGUGAAAGCCUAGGGCUCAACCCUAGAAUUGCUUUUGAUACUGCUUGACUAGAGUGUCAGAGGGGAUAGUGGAAUUCUUAGUGUAGAGGUGAAAUUCGUAGAUAUUAAGAAGAACACCAGUGGCGAAGGCGGCUCACUGGUCCGGUACUGACGCUGAGGUGCGAAAGCGUGGGGAGCAAACAGG
rnacentral:rRNA from 1 species